UACGUAGGGUGCAAGCGUUAUCCGGAAUUAUUGGGCGUAAAGAGCUCGUAGGCGGUUUGUCGCGUCUGCUGUGAAAACCGGAGGCUCAACCUCCGGCCUGCAGUGGGUACGGGCAAACUAGAGUGCGGUAGGGGAGAUUGGAAUUCCUGGUGUAGCGGUGGAAUGCGCAGAUAUCAGGAGGAACACCGGUGGCGAAGGCGGGUCUCUGGGCCGAUACUGACGCUGAGGAGCGAAAGCGUGGGGAGCGAACAGG
rnacentral:rRNA from 1 species